GCUAGGAUGAACGCUAGCUACAGGCUUAACACAUGCAAGUCGAGGGGCAGCAUAUCGAAAGCUUGCUUUGAUGAUGGCGACCGGCGCACGGGUGAGUAACGCGUAUCCAACCUUCCCUAUACUAGAGGAUAGCCCGGCGAAAGUCGGAUUAAUACUCUAUGUUCUUCGUAGAAGACAUCUGAAAUGAAGCAAAGGUUUACCGGUAUAGGAUGGGGAUGCGUCUGAUUAGGUGUUGGCGGGUAACGGCCCACCAAGCCCACGAUCAGUAGGGUCUGAGAGGAAGGUCCCCCACAUUGGAACUGAGACACGGUCCAAACUCCUACGGGAGGCAGCAGUGAGGAAUAUUGGUCAAUGGACGAGAGUCUGAACCAGCCAAGUAGCGUGCAGGAUGACGGCCCUAUGGGUUGUAAACUGCUUUUAUACAGGGAUAAAGUGACGUACGUGUACGUUUUUGUAGGUACUGUAUGAAUAAGGACCGGCUAAUUCCGUGCCAGCCGCUGC
rnacentral:rRNA from 1 species